CCCGGUGAUCUAGCCAUGGGCAGGUUGAAGGUUGGGUAACACUAACUGGAGGACCGAACCGACUAAUGUUGAAAAAUUAGCGGAUGACUUGUGGCUGGGGGUGAAAGGCCAAUCAAACCGGGAGAUAGCUGGUUCUCCCCGAAAGCUAUUUAGGUAGCGCCUCGUGAAUUCAUCUCCGGGGGUAGAGCACUGUUUCGGCAAGGGGGUCAUCCCGACUUACCAACCCGAUGCAAACUGCGAAUACCGGAGAAUGUUAUCACGGGAGACACACGGCGGGUGCUAACGUCCGUCGUGAAGAGGGAAACAACCCAGACCGCCAGCUAAGGUCCCAAAGUCAUGGUUAAGUGGGAAACGAUGUGGGAAGGCCCAGACAGCCAGGAUGUUGGCUUAGAAGCAGUCAUCAUUUAAAGAAAGCGUAAUAGCUCACUGGUCGAGUCGGCCUGCGCG
rnacentral:rRNA from 1 species